AUUCAACCGUAGAAAAUUCAAAUUGGUUCCGUAGUUGUGUUCACCAUCUCGAAAGCUUCAAGAAGCACCCCAUGGUUAUGUAAGGAGGAUUCUAAAUACAAGAGUUCAUUGUUAAGGUAUGAAUAUUGUUUAUUCUUGAUUCUUAUCCAUGAAUAAGUAUUGAUAAAGGAUUAUGAGUAUUGUCUUGAUGUUGGAAGAUAACUAGAAACAUAGUUAUGAAUUGUUGUGUAUAAAUUGUUAGUAGUAAAUUAUGGAAGUUGCUGUAUUGGAUUAUGGAGGAUGAAUUGUGGUGAUAUAUCAUUAUAUUAGUGGUUAUGUAUGCCUAGUGAUCAUGUUGGUAUUGGAUGGUGAUUAAGAAGGGAAAUAAAGGCUAAGAGUGAUGUUGAGGGAUAUUUCAUGAAAAUGCAUGAUAUGUGAAUGUAAUAAGAGUAUAAGAGGAUGUAUGUAGUACUCUUAUUGAUGAGCUAAAGGAUUACUUCCUAGACAUUAUUUGGUGAAGUUAAUACCUAAAUGGUAAGGUUUGGUUGCUAAUACUAGUUUGCCACAAAUGACUUAUUGUAGAUAAGUGUUCGAAGAGUACGGGAAGUCACUUGUAUUGAAGUGGUUAUAUCAAGGUAUGUAAGACAUACUCUAUCUAAUCUUUGGCAUGAAUAAUGACCCAUGGCACUCUCAAGUAAGCUUCCAACAUUGUCCUACGACACAUGACACAUAAUAACAUCAUAUGAUCUUCGACACUACCAAUUGAACUUGUUUUCACUUUUAAGAUGUCCGGCUAGUCAAAAAAAAAUGUCCAUAUUGAUUACCUAUUUACAUGUUUUUCCUAUUGAGGUAUCAUGGUUUCAAGUUCCAUAAAGUGUGACCACAAAGUAACCAAUCUCAAAGAUUAAUUGAAUUAAGAAAUGGAAUGUCUGUAUUUUAAAUUGAUGAUAUGAUGUAUUGUAUUAGUACCACUGAUCAGUUGGCCAUUGUAUUAUAAAGAUUAUCUAUAUAUGCUAUUCCAGGGGUGGUCCCUGAUGUAUUGUAUUAGUACCACUGAUCAGUUGGCCAUUGUAUGACAUAUGUUAUGUAUUGAUAAGGAUUACGGGAAGUAAUGAUAUGAAAGUAAUGUGCAGGUAUCCCAUCAGUUCUUUUAAGUGUGGUCUACUCAUACUGUUUAUUCACUGGUAUCUGGGUUCUGUUGAUCUUUUGUAUCUCAUCUUGAUACUCACUGCCUUACAUACUCAGUACAUAUUUCCGUACUGACGUCCCUCACGGGGGACCUGCAUUCAUGCCUGCAGGAACAGGUACUUCAGGUCGUACACCUCCGCAGUAAGAGCCAGGACAUUCUGUUGUUAGUGGUGAGCUCCAGUUGUUUCGGGGCAUCCCAAGUUGUCUCUAUAUGUACUUUUGGUAUUUGUAUAAAAGUCUUUUGUGGGCGGGAGUUUGUCCCGACCCCAACUCAGUUGUGUAUCUAUGUUGAGGCUUUUGUAGACGUAUUGUACAGCCAUAGGAGUGUUUGGUUGAUAGACGUGAUGGCUCUGACGGCCAAUUACUGUUCAUAUAUAUAUUUAUGCGUGUCUGCUGGGCUGAUACAAGUACUGUUUUCUUCUAUUUGCAACGAAGUGCUGCCCAAAUUUCUAAUUUUCAUAAGUAAUGUAGAUGUGAAAGUAUAGGUUUUGAACGGGUUCUCCCGGGCCUCCUCAGCUACGGGUGUCAUUUUCAUAAGUAAUGUAGAUGUGAAAGUAUAGGUUUUGAAUGGGUUCUCCCGGGCCUCCUCAGCUACGGGUGCCAGUCCGCUCCAAUGGAAUUUGGGGUAUGACACAUGUCUUCAUAAAGUCGUAAGACUAUGUAUGGGGUUGGCGCCCCAAUGCCGGAAGGUCAAGAAAGUUGGUGACCUGAGGACAGGAGAGACGACGAUUGAAGUCCCGGUGAACAACAGUCAUAACUAUAACGGUCCUAAGGUAGCAAAAUUUCUUAUCGGAUAAGUUUUGACCCACAUGAAAGGCAUAACGAUUUAGGCACUAUCUCGGAGAGAGGCUCGGUGAAAUACAUAUGUUUGUGAAAAUAUAGACUACCUGCACCUGGAUAGAAAGACCCUAUGAAGAGUUGUUGUUCCCUGGGAUUGGCUUUGGGCCAUUCUUGCGCAGCUAGGGUGGAAGGCGAAGAAGGCCUCCUUUCGAGGGAGGCCCGAGUCAUCAGUCAGAUACUACUCUGGAAGGGCUACAUUCUAACCUUGUGUCAGGACCUACGGGCCAUGGGAUAGUCUCAAGUAGACAAUUUCUAUAGGGCGUAGGCCUCCCAAAAGGUAACAAAGGCAUGCAAAGAUUUCUUCAGAACGGAUAAAGAUUGGCCCUCAAGUGUAAAGGUAGAAGGGAGUUUGACUGUAAGAUCCACCACAAACAGGGACGAAAGUCGGCCCGAGUGAUUCGGCAGUGCCGAAUGGAAGGGCCGUCACUCAACAGAUAAAAGUUACUCUAUGGAUAACAUGUUGAUCUUCCCCAAGAGCUCACAUGACGGGAAAAUUUGGCACCUCGAUAUCGGUUGUUCACCACCUGGGAAUAUAGUAUAUUUUAAGGAUUGGGUUGUUCGCCCAUUAAAGUGGUACGUGAGAUGAGUUCAGAACGUCGUGAGACAGUUUGGGUAUGUGAAUUUUUUUUACUAAUUUUGUACUUAAUAAAAUAUCCUGCACACGAUAAUUUAUUUUUUACAUACGUUUAUUCGUAGUUAACGCUUGAUACACGUGCAACCCAUCUAUCCUAAACUAGUACUCUUAAAAUUCAAUUAAAUUUAAAUUCACUUGUUAUAAGACUUUUUUUUAGUAAGAGAAAAGGCUCAAAUAUGCCACUGAACUAUCAGAAAUGACUCAUUUAUGCCAUCUGUUAAAAGUUGGGCUCAUUCAU
rnacentral:rRNA from 1 species